UGAAUAUUGCAAAUGUUUAUGGGGAUGCUCCUAUUAGUCAACAUGUUUGUUUUAUGUAUUGUUUUUUGUUUUAUUUUGUUGGUUUAUGAGUUUUUAUAGUGUUGAUUUAAUUCAUUGUUUAUGACUGUAGCCAUCUUCGGGUUUUCGAGAGGGGUGUUGAUAUUCUGGUUGCAACUUCGGAAUGUUUGGUGAAUAUGAUUGAGGGAGGAAAGAGGUAUCGCAAUCGCGGCGACGGUGGUGGCGGGGAUGGUUUUGCGAGAGGUUAAGUUUGGGCUAUGUGGAUGUCGAAAGUUGAUUAUGCGUUUGCUGAUUCCUGUUCGCUUGAUAUCUCCUCUGGCACCACUGCUUCAACUGCUCUUGUAUUUGGGAGGAUACUAAAC